GACGAACGCUGGCGGCGUGCUUAACACAUGCAAGUCGAACGGAAAGGCCCUGCUUUUGUGGGGUGCUCGAGUGGCGAACGGGUGAGUAACACGUGAGUAACCUGCCCUUGACUUUGGGAUAACUUCAGGAAACUGGGGCUAAUACCGGAUAGGAGCUCCUGCUGCAUGGUGGGGGUUGGAAAGUUUCGGCGGUUGGGGAUGGACUCGCGGCUUAUCAGCUUGUUGGUGGGGUAGUGGCUUACCAAGGCUUUGACGGGUAGCCGGCCUGAGAGGGUGACCGGCCACAUUGGGACUGAGAUACGGCCCAGACUCCUACGGGAGGCAGCAGUGGGGAAUAUUGCACAAUGGGCGGAAGCCUGAGGUAGCGACGCCGCGUGCGGGAUGACGGCCUUCGGGGUGUAAACCGCUUUCGCCUGUGACGAAGCGUGAGUGACGGUAAUGGGUAAAGAAGCACCGGCUAACUACGUG
rnacentral:rRNA from 1 species